rnacentral:tRNA from 1 species
GGAGGGGUGGCCGAGUGGCUGAAGGCGCACGCUUGGAAAGCGUGUAUACGGGAAACCGUAUCGAGGGUUCGAAUCCCUCUCCCUCCG